rnacentral:lncRNA from 1 species
GACUCUUUUUCCUCGACUAUCUCUCAGUUCAAUGUGGGUUCAAUGCGCUUCACUUCGCGUUCGGGACUCGACUGAAUUGAAAGAGGCGACCGAGCUCGGCUCAAAAAUCCGUAUCUCUGCUGAGGUUCUGAGAAUCGGGUUCUUAUUUUUGUAUUCUUCCUGACGCGCCGACGUCGAUGGCUCGGUUUCUCAAGGAAAGUCCCGAAAUUUGUACACCGCGAGAAUGAAGCAGAUAGACACCAUUAUGAUUGAUUACCGCGGCUGUGUCUAGACAACGUUGCUUCUUAAUGGAUACACUGCCUGAUUCCUGAUCAGCCCCGGGCCAAGUUUCCCCCUAAAACCCAUCGAGGUUAACCCGGCUUUACUCUGCGAGAUGAUUGAUGACGACGCUGUCUGUCUGGCGAAGAAAUUCCCCCGAAGAGCGACGAAACUAUGGCCACAGUUUCUGGAAAAUUAAAUCACAUCUUAAAUCGUUUCGGUGACUUCUGCUGAAAUGAGGCCGUUCCCAUGGGAGGACAACUGCAUCUGUCGUCCGAACUUGGACCCCCGCACUCUCACUCGUACUGCCCAUCUGCCGGAAUCCUCGUCGCUGAGUGCACAUUCGAAUCAGAUAAUUGUAAAUUGUGUAAAAUAAUAAAUUUCCAGUUAACUAUCAACGGACCGCAU